GACGUAGGGCGCGAGCGUUGUCCGGAUUUAUUGGGCGUAAAGAGCUCGUAGGCGGCUUGUCGCGUCGUCCGUGAAAACCUGCAGCUCAACUGCAGGCUUGCGGUCGAUACGGGCAGGCUCGAGUUCGGUAGGGGAGACUGGAAUUCCUGGUGUGGCGGUGAAAUGCGCAGAUAUCAGGAGGAACACCGGUGGCGAAGGCGGGUCUCUGGGCCGAUACUGACGCUGAGGAGCGAAAGCGUGGGGAGCGAACAGG
rnacentral:rRNA from 1 species